CGAAGACGUCUUACUGCACUAUAUAAAUGAAAAAAGUGAGGAGUGUUGAUGUCCCAUGUGGCUGGUGGAGAGGAAGGGAAAGGAUACUGUUUGGAAGGGAAGUUACAGAUCUGCCACACAAGUACCACUUUCAUGGUUCACGAAAGAAAGAUGCACCGCCGCCAUGAAUCUGCCACGACUACCUGAUCAUGCAAUACCACUUCCAUCUUCCCUCUGUCGAUCUCUGAUUACAUCAGCACUCCCAGCAUCCAUCUCGGUUCCUUCCCAGCAUUCCUCUCUCUGUCUACUUAAAGUCUCCCCAA